rnacentral:rRNA from 1 species
UGAGGAAUAUUGGUCAAUGGACGAGAGUCUGAACCAGCCAAGUAGCGUGCAGGAUGACGGCCCUAUGGGUUGUAAACUGCUUUUAUAUGGGAAUAAAGUGAGGGACGUGUCCCUUAUUGCAUGUACCAUACGAAUAAGGACCGGCUAAUUCCGUGCCAGCAGCCGCGGUAAUACGGAAGGUCCAGGCGUUAUCCGGAUUUAUUGGGUUUAAAGGGAGCGUAGGCUGUUUGUUAAGCGUGUUGUGAAAUGUAGGAGCUCAACUUUUAGAUUGCAGCGCGAAAUGGCUGACUUGAGUGCGCACAACGUAGGCGGAAUUCAUGGUGUAGCGGUGAAAUGCUUAGAUAUCAUGACGAACUCCGAUUGCGAAGGCAGCUUACGGGAGCGCAACAGACGCUAAAGCUCGAAGGUGCGGGUAUCGAACAGG